rnacentral:rRNA from 1 species
GAUAAACGCUGGCGGCGUGCCUAAAACAUGCAAGUCGAACGGAUCUUGGUUUUCGGACCAAGGUUAGUGGCGGACGGCUGAGUAACACGUGGGUGACCUGCCCUCGAGCGGGGGAUAACUGCCCGAAAGGGUGGCUAAUACCGCAGACAUCCAUCAUUCGGUUGGUGGAUUGAACCUCCGGGGUUCGGGGAGGGGCCCGCGGUCGAUUAGCUAGCUGGUGGGGUAACGGCCUACCAGGGCUUCGAUCGAUAGCUGGUCUGAGAGGAUGAUCAGCCAGACUGGGACUGCGAACGGCCCAGACUCCUACGGGAGGCAGCAGUUAGGAAUUUUGGGCAAUGGGCGAAAGCCUGACCCAGCAACGCCGCGUGGGUGAUGAAGGCCCUCGGGUCGUAAAGCCCUUUUCCCAGGGACGAUGGUGACGGUACCUGGGGAAUCAGCCCCGGCUAACUACGUGCCAGCAGCCGC